UACAGAGGUCUCAAGCGUUGUUCGGAUUCAUUGGGCGUAAAGGGUGUGUAGGUGGCGCCGUAAGUCGGGUGUGAAAUUUCGAGGCUUAACCUCGAAACUGCAUUCGAUACUGCGGUGCUUGAGGACUGGAGAGGAGACUGGAAUUCAUGGUGUAGCAGUGAAAUGCGUAGAGAUCAUGAGGAAGACCAGUGGCGAAGGCGGGUCUCUGGACAGUUCCUGACACUGAGACAUGAAGGCCAGGGGAGCAAACGGG
rnacentral:rRNA from 1 species